UAUAUAUACAGCCAUGCACUC
rnacentral:miRNA from 1 species